GUUUCUAUAGUGUAACACAACAUAUUGUCCUUUCAAGACAAAGAUAUUUUUUAGAAAUU
rnacentral:tRNA from 1 species